rnacentral:rRNA from 1 species
UACAGAGGCCUCGAGCGUUAGGCGGAAUCACUGGGCUUAAAGCGUGUGUAGGCGGACUUCUAAGUACCUUGUGAAAUCCCGCGGCUUACCCGUGGAACUGCUGGGUAUACUGGUUGUCUUGAGCCACUUAGGGGCUACCGGAACAAAUGGUGGAGCGGUGAAAUGCGUAGAUAUCAUUUGGAACGCCAAUGGUGAAAACAGGUAGCUGGGAGUGUGCUGACGCUGAGACACGAAAGCCAGGGGAGCGAACGGG